GACGAACGCUGGCGGCGUGCUUAACACAUGCAAGUCGAACGGAAAGGCCCUGCUUUUGUGGGGUGCUCGAGUGGCGAACGGGUGAGUAACACGUGAGUAACCUGCCCUUGACUUUGGGAUAACUUCAGGAAACUGGGGCUAAUACCGGAUAGGAGCUCCUGCUGCAUGGUGGGGGUUGGAAAGUUUCGGCGGUUGGGGAUGGACUCGCGGCUUAUCAGCUUGUUGGUGGGGUAGUGGCUUACCAAGGCUUUGACGGGUAGCCGGCCUGAGAGGGUGACCGGCCACAUUGGGACUGAGAUACGGCCCAGACUCCUACGGGAGGCAGCAGUGGGGAAUAUUGCACAAUGGGCGGAAGCCUGAUGCAGCAACGCCGCGUGCGGGAUGACGGCCUUCGGGUUGUAAACCGCUUUCGCCUGUGACGAAGCGUGAGUGACGGUAAUGGGUAAAGAAGCACCGGCUAACUACGUGCCAGCAGCCGCGGUGAUACGUAGGGUGCGAGCGUUGUCCGGAUUUAUUGGGCGUAAAGGGCUCGUAGGUGGUUGAUCGCGUCGGAAGUGUAAUCUUGGGGCUUAACCCUGAGCGUGCUUUCGAUACGGGUUGACUUGAGGAAGGUAGGGGAGAAUGGAAUUCCUGGUGGAGCGGUGGAAUGCGCAGAUAUCAGGAGGAACACCAGUGGCGAAGGCGGUUCUCUGGGCCUUUCCUGACGCUGAGGAGCGAAAGCGUGGGGAGCGAACAGGCUUAGAUACCCUGGUAGUCCACGCUGUAAACGGUGGGUACUAGGUGUGGGGUCCAUUCCACGGGUUCCGUGCCGUAGCUAACGCUUUAAGUACCCCGCCUGGGGAGUACGGCCGCAAGGCUAAAACUCAAAGGAAUUGACGGGGCCCCGCACAAGCGGCGGAGCAUGCGGAUUAAUUCGAUGCAACGCGUAGAACCUUACCUGGGUUUGACAUGGAUCGGGAGCGCUCAGAGAUGGGUGUGCCUCUUUUGGGGUCGGUUCACAGGUGGUGCAUGGCUGUCGUCAGCUCGCGUCGUGAGAUGUUGGGUUAAGUCCCGCAACGAGCGCAACCCUUGUUCACUGUUGCCAGCACGUUAUGGUGGGGACUCAGUGGAGACCGCCGGGGUCAACUCGGAGGAAGGUGGGGAUGACGUCAAGUCAUCAUGCCCCUUAUGUCCAGGGCUUCACGCAUGCUACAAUGGCUGGUACAGAGAGUGGCGAGCCUGUGAGGGUGAGCGAAUCUCGGAAAGCCGGUCUCAGUCCGGAUUGGGGUCUGCAACUCGACCUCAUGAAGUCGGAGUCGCUAGUAAUCGCAGAUCAGCAACGCUGCGGUGAAUACGUUCCCGGGGCU
rnacentral:rRNA from 1 species